CUCUCAUUUUUCUUAUUUUUUUUUAUGCUCUCUAAUUUUUAUUUGGUAGAAGUGUGUAGUAUGAUACUUUCUUUUUUUAAUUCCAUCAAUAGCAAACAUUGUGAUCUCAGAAACGGAUUGGGUCAGCAAGGGACAUCUCCACUUCAUUAAUAUAAGUUUGAAGUACCAGAAGAAAAAUCUAAAACUUGGGAAUUAAUCUUCACUGACCAUAGGUCUGGGAGAGACUUCCAUUAAAGCUGGGAUUCCAGACAUUUUUGAAACUGAGAUUAAAGUCAGCUACAAUUUUGAAGGGAGUUACGUUACACAUAUUUCAGAAAUUAGAGAAGCAACGGCACCCAUAUACUUUACCAUAUACUUUACAGGAGAUUACCUUCAUCAAUGGCGCUUUCAACUCCAGGCAGGAUGCUUUGAAGAUUUUUAGACUCCAACAUAUCAGAAAAAGACACAUUACCGGUGGAUAUCCUUCAAUACUCAAUCGUUUAGCAAGUUACAAAAAAUAAACUAAGCCAAAGGGAUAUAAAAUGGAAAGCAAGAUUUCAAAUACCAGACAUUUGUUGAAGAUAAUCAGCAUUCCAGGUGAGUCUGCAGCCACAAAGAAAAGGGGGGAAAUCAAAACCAUGAAUUGGCAAUAUUAUUGUGAUUGUUAUUUUUUCUAAAAAAAUAGCAUUAUAAAGAAAACCAGGAGGGCUAUUUCAAUUGAGACGAGAAUGCAUGACAGUGACAAGGAAUCUAUGGGAUUAUAGAUCAAAUGAACAAUUAUGUUAAGGUACCACACUAAAUUAUAUUUAAGGUGAGACUUGAAAUGAAUUUUGUACGAUGAUGACAUGUGUUAAAAGAAAUAUCUAUCGUGUUU